UACAAAGAAAAGGUGAAUGCACAUCAGCUGGAGAGGACGAAAUAGGUCUAAUACUGAUCCUGGCCCUCCCUUACUUCUCUAGAAGCAGUGCACCUCUUUCCCGGGGAAAUUGCAAGGAACUGUGUGUAGGGCCCACCGGCUUUUAUUCCUUCCCUGGUUUGGGGAUUCUCUCUCUCCCUCUCCUGCCCCGUGGUUGCAAAUGCGGGUCUGGAAGACAGCAAUGAAUCUGCAAGUAAACAGGUUUGGAAGACUUCAGAAAAUUCAGCUAUGUUUCUCAGAGGUCUGAGCCCAGCUCUCUCGUCUUCCACCUUAUAUCAUUUCAAAAUAAGGCAAAUUCCAUGGAGUUUUUCCAUAGGCACUUCUAAAUCUUCAAAGCCUGGUUCUUAUUUUGAAAGAAGCUAGUUUUUAAAUAAAUAAUGAGUUUCUCCAG
rnacentral:lncRNA from 1 species